AAUGGCUGGGAGGUCGGAGUCAAAAUCCUUGAACGAGAUCAGAAGAGGCGGGAUUGGAUUCGGCUGGAGAAGGUUCAAUCACGAGUUAGCAGGAGGAAAUUUGGUCUGAUGGCCUAAACGGUGCAUGAGGAAGAUAGGGCUGUGUGAAUCAAAGUUCCUGCGACUGCAGCUGAGGGGAUUGCAGGUUGGGAUGCUGGACUGUUGGUUGUCGGCGUCGGCUAGCUGGAGGCGGAUGGGUCGGUACAGGGACGACGGAAGCUUUGCAUGAAACAAGGAGGGAAGUCGGGAUUUUGAAGGUCGUUCGACCUACCGUAACCGCAGAUUGGCAAAGAGACGGUAGUUUGGUCUCAGGGCGUGGGUUUGAUCGAGAUUUGGCUUGCGAAUAAGAGACUUUCAUGCGUCCAAGAACAAAAAAAAGGCAAAGCUUCGUUCGUUGUCGUUUUAACAAUGACCGCAGGCAAGCAAUCGAGGAGUGAUUUGGGCCGAGAUCGUGGUGAGCAGCGUCAACGCCGAUUUGCAAGUAUUCAAUCGAUUUCCAUGACGGCAAAGGCUCUAGCGGUGGAAUUGCCCAACCAAAUUCUCAGCCUGCCGCUUCUUUGUCAGCGAUUGCCAUGACGACGAUGGCUCCAGCUAUGCGUCAGUUCUUGAUGUCGCUGAAGCCAUUGGCUUUGGAGAUAGGAGCUUUGCGGCAAUUCUUGAUGUCUCCUGUAACAACUUUAUGGUCAGUCUGCCGGAGAUUUCAGCGAUCAAGGCCAAUGGCUCCAACGGUGGUUCAUUUAAUGCUUUGCAUUAUCUCCUGUUCUGUGCCUUACAAUGGUGCUAGAAGGAGGCACGAACCCAUGUGUUCGUAGAGUGAGCAGGAGCAUGUGCUCCAUUGCCCCUGAAGGAGCCAAUGAACCCAUCUCCGGGGAGUUUUGGAAAAAUGGGAGUCAUGUGGUCGUGGAGUGAGCGGGAGCAAGCAAUCAAUGUGCAUGUGUGAUCCAACGAACCCAUCUCGGGCAUAAAGAUCCCAGCUUCAACAUAUUCGGGAAGCUACAAUAAGCUGUAGAUUGAAACCUGUAGCAUAAACGUUAGAGCAAAGCAGAGAAUAGCUGAGAGAAGAGUUUUGGAAUACUAUAUGAUUUUCUCAUUAGACUUCUUGCUACAACUGCAAAAUGGUGUGGUGGAGGCACUUAGUGCUGAAGCAGGCUACGAGACAGAGCAGUAAUAGCAGCUUUUCAGUUCGGCUUAUCAGGAGCCAUACAUGGCUCAUAAUGAGAUUGGACAUCUCCUUGAACCGCAACCGGCGAUGGAGCUUCGGCGAUGAAGGUGAUAGGUCAAUCUCGAUGUCCUCCACCAGCAUCUCCCCGGACCGAUAAUAAUUUUCGGUAACUUCUCGUCGUCAUCUGGCUGGGAACGAAAGGAAGACGAUGCGAGGCGAAUUUCUGACGGCGUUUAGACGGAGUAGUAGAAUUGAAGAAAAUGAGAGUUUGAGGUGGUAAAUGAGUAAAUAUAAUAGUUUGAGUGUUGAAUAUGUAUUUUGAAUAGUUUCAAGUGUUAUGUAUGUAAAAAUCCCUUGAAAAUGAUAACAACGAAACAAUCAUUUGAUGCGCCUUAA